GGAGCAGGAUGGGAUGGCUGCUGGGCUGCACCCCGUGUCGUCUUCUCGGUCAAUACCCGACUGCUGUCUCCACUCUAAAGUGGUUAUUAGACUGGUCAGGGAGAGAUGCAUGGAAAUUUAGACAUUGCAAUGGACUGCCCAGGGAGGCGUGAAGUCUCCGUCUCUGGACGUGUGUAAGGAAGGACUGGACGUGGCACUCAGUGCCAUGGGCUUCUUGCCAUGGUGGUGAUCGGUCGUAGGCCGGACGCGAUAAUCUCAGAGGUCUUUUCCAAAGUGACUGAUGAUGUGAUUCUGUGGAAUGGAUACAGCUCAUCCAGUCCCUAAAGGGACCACAGCAGCCUGGCCACUGUGAGAGUCCUCCUGCCACGGCCACGCUCCCCAUAAAUAUUUCAGCUUUUAUGCCCCUCUCUUCUCUGGCUGAUUUUGUAAAGAGAUGGGGCUUGGAUUGUGCUAUCAUCUGCCUGCUCUCAUAUGCCUGCUUUUGCUUAAAUGCAGGAGAGGAAAAGACAUUUUACAGAUAUGAAAUUCCUGCACAGCUUCAAAGAAGAGUUGGCGUCAGCCGUGUUUGUACUGGGGAGAGAGCUAAAAGGAACUCUGUCCCGGUGAGGGGGAGCAGGCUCCCUAAGCUCAGCAUCCUGCUCCGAGGCACAGCCACUGGCCGGGCAGCCAGCCCAUGUGUGCUGGCCCAGACCAGGCACAGCACUGAGCACUGGACAGGCUGCCCAGACAGCCUGCGAGUCUCUUUCCCUGGAGACAUUCAUAAGCUGUCUGGACACAGUCCUGAGGAACGUUCUCUACGGGACCCUGCUUGAGCAGGAGGGUUGGACCGGAUGAUCGCCAGUAGUCCCUUCCAGUGUGAGCUGUUCUGUGAUUCGUGAACCAUGUGCUGCUGUUUGCCUUCCAAACGGGAUGGCAUGGGAAGAAGAUGAGGGGAGAGAGUGCUAUCACUUCUAUGAGGAGUUGGGAGUACUCUUGCUUCAGAGUUGGACUGAGAUGUAUGGGACACAUCUAUGGGAAACUUGGUCUCAUUCUCCUGCGCAGAACAACCCAUUAUUCAAUUAAAGCGGAUUGCUUAAGGCCUGGAUGCAAAUUGUCAUCACUUCACAUUUAAUUUUAACUUAACUGGGUUUUUAAAUAAAAAAUGUAGAGAACAUUCCUUUUCCCCGGGCAAAGCCUUGCUUUACUGAGAUCCACGAAAUGCUGCUGCCACAAAGGUUGUGUUUUUUUUGUACACCACAAUGAGCCUCUACUGUUUACACUCUCCUUGUGCCAUUCUCUCUAUAAUCACGGCAAACCCACCCUGCUUGCCUUCCCCUCCAUAAAACAAAGCAACACUCGCUGUUCUGCUGAUAACUCCACCAAGUACAAGGCCGAGGACAGAAAAGAAUUAAUCUCUGCAUCAGCUGUGAAACAAAGAAAGGAAUCAAGAUUUUCAUGACUGGAAAACUAAAUACAGCUAGGCAGAUCAGCUGUCUGCAGAGGAGCCAGCCAGCACGUGCUUCUGUGAGGGCUUGGAGAGCUGAAUCUCCAGGAGUGUCUCCCUCAGGAAACUUCCAAACUGCAGUUCGUCUCCUUCCCCUUCAGCCACCAGCACAGAAAUGAGUGGAUCAUAAACCCAACCAUGAGCCUUUUCUCACCAGAAAGCAAGCAAGCCGGGAGUGGAGAGCAAAGUACAGGUCAGAACUUUUUGGUGCCAGCAGGUCUGAGCCUUUUCAAGGUCACAGUGCUCCUGUUUUAAACAGAGCUGUGGAAACUAGGGUGUGUUUUGAAUUAAAAAUGAAUUGGAUUGCUUAAAUGCAAAAAAAAAUAA